AGUUGCUAGGCUACAUGAUUGUAAACAAUCAUGUUUCGAAUGCGGUUAAUUCUAUAAAAACUAAUUUUUGAACCAUGCCACCAAAGAGAGGUAAAAGUGGAGAGAGAAAAGGAGGUCAAGAUGGUGAUGCCGCUUGGGAAACAAAACUAGCUAAUACAGUAUUUUCAGAAGAGACUGAGGAUGGAUGGAUUGCAACAAUAGCCUGUCUCGUUGGCAACCGAUAUGAAGAUUACGCAUUAAUAAAUAGCAUCGAGGACACUAUAAGAUCAAAAUCCAGAAGACUGUUUUCGACAUUUUCCAAGAGUGAAUUGUACAACGAGUCAGUUGAAUUUGGAAGCUCAAAAGGCAAAAAAGGAAAGGAUGCCCCUCAAUUUGUCGAGGUUUACGAAUAUUGUAAAGAAUAUUUAGAUAAUAAUGAGGAGGUUCCGUUGCAAGUUCAAGCAAAAUUGAUUAAGGCGAAAUUACUUGCUAUAAAAAAAGAAGAUCAUGCCAGAAGAGAAGUAGAACGAAAGUGGCGUGAGGAAAGAGAGCGCAGACGGGCAGGUCAGAGCGAUGGUGAUGGAAAGAAAGGUAAAAAAGAUAGAGGAAAAUCACCGAAAGGGAAAGUGGGCAAAAAGACUCCGGAACCAUCAGCGCCUAAAAAUGAAAGUAAAUUGCAAAAGAGAGGAGAGGAAGACUUAGACUCGAAGUAUAUUGAUGAUGAACCAGAUGAUGGUAGCAAACACUAUAUUGUUAUACAUGGAUUCAAUCAUCCUCACUUGUUUUCUUUUCUUUCGGAAAUUGGCAUUCACGUUGAUGUGAUCUAUAAAGUUAAAAUGGAUGAUUAUAGUAGAUUCGAUAAAUCUGAAGAUGAAAUUGUUGAAGAGAAAACAGAAAAACAACUAUUAGUUGAAGAGGAGGAGAGAAAGAGAUUAGAGGCUCUGACGAGAGAACUGGAUAUGUUCUGGAGAGAUAUUACACCCGUCUUACAAAUGAGUUCUGCAUCGCCUAAAUUGCACGACUUGCCAAUUUUGCCGUUUGAUAUCAACAGUGCAUCCAUUCCAAUUGAUUUUCAAAAUAGUGAUAAAAAGGCUGAGGUUAGCUCCUCUCUUUUCGAAAAGCUAGCAUGUGAUACCUAUGAUUUAUUGGAUUGGAAACGACAAUGGCGAAAUUUCAUUGAAAAUCUCAAACUAUACCAUGUUCCUGGGGUUUCUUCUGCAGCAUUAGCAAAUGAUUCUCCUGGUACAGCAGCUCCUACUCCCGCCCCAACAAGUGCUCCCCCUAUAGUAGAUGAUUUAAGCUCAGACGUUGACAUGCGUUACUAUAAAGAUUUAAUGGACUGCAUACCUCACGAAAGCGUUUCAGUUCCUUUGAUAGUAAAUUGUAUGGUAGAGCAAGUUGCUGCAACAGCAGAGCAUCGAUUACCACCUUCUGCAGAAACUAAACUCCCAAGAGCGGACGGACUAUGUGACUCUUUGGCUGAUCAUUUAAACAGAUUGGCUUCAAACAUGGCUCUCGAUCCUAAUGAAGUUAGAGCCUUAUCUUCUGAAUACGAGAUUCCAGAUAAAAAGUUGGAUGGAAAUCGUCAUCCUCUGCUCAUCAACUACUCUGACGAAGCAAAGACCCGACUAAGAAACCUACAAACGAACAUUGAUCUAUUUAAUCCUCUACAAACAGAAAGCUACAUGAACACGAGAUUCCCAACAAAUACUCUCCUUGCUCCUCCGGAAUCGCCUCCAGAAAAAGCUAAAUUGAAAAGAAUUUCUAGAUUACAAGAACUUUUAACAUUUUGUUCGACACCUGGUAUCUCGAAAAACGAAGUAGAUAUAAUUUUACGGCAAUUUGUUUUUGAAUGUCUAAGGUCAACAGAAGUUGAUGAAAAUGGACAGGUUGUAAAAUUUUAUGGAAAAAAUCUUAUUCCGUGGGAUGAUCCUUAUCCAUAUUAUCAUGGAAUUCUUGGUAUUUUUAAUAUAGAGGAAGAGGAUAAAUUCCCCGUUACGCCUGUUAGACAAGAAAGUGUAGAAGUUCCUACGACAAGACCUGAAUCUCGGUUAUCGGAGAAGUCUUCAUCGGGUGAAUCGGCAGAAAUUAGCACUCAAAAGUCAAGUAAAAAAGAGCGAAAAAGCCGAUCAAAAUCUAAAAGAGGUAAAAACAGCGCCGAUAAAGCAGUUAGGGUUACUGAAGAACCUGUUGAAGUAGUUCCGCCACCAUCUCCUAAAGAAACUGGUGGAAUACUGAAAGAUUCUAAAAGACCGCGGUCCUCGUCCUCUCGUGACUCAAGUGUGCACUUUGAAAGAGAUGAUAUUGGUCUGACGGUCUCUCACCCUGGAGACGAGUUCGAAACCAUAGAUCAAGCGUCAAUACUUGAUAGAUUAUCAGAUAUUGUUGAGGCUCAACGGAGAAACCUCGAUCAGUGGACUUUUGUCGAACAAUUAGAUAUAAAUGUUCUACAUCAGGUUAUUAAAGAAGCCUCAUAUACACUACCUUAUAUGGAUACUUUGUAUUCAAGACGAGACAACAAACUCUUGGUUAUGCUGAGUAAUCCUUAUGAUAAAAAACUUCUAGCAAACUAUGAUAAAUGGGAGUCCCAUUCACAUACGGACGUUCAUUUCCGUAAUUAUUUAGAACAUGUGGCAUGGAGAAUUGAAGAAUGGAUCACGGCAGAAGAAGCAAAAUAUGAGGCUACUAAAACAGCCAAGGAGAGUGCUCUAUUCCAAAAAGAGUUUGAAGAAUUAGAAGCUGCAAAGGCAAGAGAAGCCAACGCAGAAAAUGAUAAAAAAAAGAAAAAGGAUCGAUCAAAAUCACCAAAGAGGAAGAAAGCUGAUGACUCAUCAAGAUCGUCAACUCCUGAAGAUUCUGAACCUUUUGUCAGGCAAAAUUCUAUCAAAGCGUACUUAAAAGACAAAGAACGAGAAUUUGCAGAGGAAGAGGAAAAAAAGAAAGCUCUGGAAGAGAAGAGAGCUAAUUCUGCUAAAAAAAGGAAGGAGGCCGAAAAAGAAGAAAAGGGUAAAAGAAGUAAAAGUCCAAGAAGUAGCGCAAAAUCUCGUAAAUCACGAAGAGAAACCGAAGUUGUAACGCCAGCUGGUGGACAAGAGCAAGUACCAACAGAUAACUAUUUUUCAUUUGAAGGAUAUGAUUUGGGUGACGAAAUGUUAGCGGCAUCGGGGAUAACUUACAACAUGUUUCCAUCUGAUGGUUCACUCAUUAGAACCAAUAUUACUGAAUUUGUCGAAGGUUCAAAAACAGUUCAUACCGCUUUAAUAAAAGAUAAGCAUCAGCUCUUGGUUCAUAUAAUAAAUCCAAAGGAUGUCGUUAUUACUCCUUUUUCGGAAGAUGAUGUAAAAGAAAAGUCAGAAACAGAAAAACCUGAGAAAGAGACUGCAGAAACUGAAAUUACUGAGAAACAUUCAAGCCAAACGGAAGCAGAGCUCCGAAAACCUUUAAAACCUAUUGUUGGUGAAUAUGCAUCUUUUAGUGCAACUUUGGCUGAUGGAAUCUGUUUAGCGUUUAGCACAUAUGGUAAAACUGGACGAGUAGAUGGAGGUGAAAUAUACAAACCCGAACCCUACGUAACACCACACAUUAGAACACCUACACCAACAGCCCCUGUAGGUGGAAAGGAAUCAGUGGCUAGCAAGAAGAAAGCAAAAGGUACUAAAGAAAAGAAAGAAGACUCAGAACCUCCGCCGAUGAGAGCAAUCGGUACGCCUGCUUCAUCUUCUAAUGUUCUAGACGGUGAAAGAAAAUCAGUGAAAACAGAAAAUUAUGAAGAAUGCUCUUUUUUGAAACUGCAAUUUUCUACACCUUCAGGAUUGGUUGUAACAUUUCUUAAAAGGGAUGAUAGCAUAGUGGUACAACAACAAUAUGCCUUCAAAACGAAGGAGAUUGAACCCUGCAAAGAAAUCAGCGAUAUAGCUGGAAAUGAGGAGAAAAGAAUGUAUUCCAGCGACGGUUCUUUAUUAAUAUUUUCCAAUAAUCCAACAGCAACAAAAAUUUUAUAUCCUGAUGGUAAGAUGACUGAAUAUUCAACAACAAUAGUGCCCAACGAUAAAGCAGUUGGAAGCCGCAACACUUCUCCACAAAGGGGUACAAGUCCAAAAGAUGCCCCUAAACGUGCUGGGCGAAGAAAACAUAGUCCAAAAAUUGAGGAUGAAGUAGCUGAAACUGUUACUAGAGAAAAAUGGUAUUCUGUUCAGCCGACAGGAGAACGACUAAUUACUAUUAAAGAGGGCGAGAAUACAGAAAACAUACCUAUUGAUCCACUUCUAAAAUGUGAAUGCUUUGAUCCAUCAAGUAAUCAAGUUAUGAUCACAAGAGACGACAAAACUAUUAUUGUGAAACAUGCUGAUGGAACUAUUAUAUCGGAACACCCUGAUGGGACUAGAUUCACAACUUAUAGUCAUGAGGAUAAAAAUUCUGGAAAGAUUACUAAGUUGAUAAAAAUUGAAAAUCCAGCCUACUGUACAGUAACUUUUGACUCUUCAUCUGGUGAAUGUCACGUGGAAACUGCUUCUAGAACAAUUAUAAACGCUUUUCCUGCGGGAAAUUAUGAGUUACAUCAUGCUGAUGGAUCUUUUAUGAGAAUUGAGCAAAAUGGGGGUGUUUCUUUCUCUCCAAAACCUAACGAUUUUCAAUUGGCUAAUCCUCAGCAACCACUCAUUUAUCAUAUGCGUCACGAUGCUGAUGUGAUCCUUUAUUCUGUCGAUAACAACGGAAAUCGAUUUUCAGUCAGAAAUACUGGUCUGUCAAGCGCAACAUUGGUUGAAAAAACUGCAACUGCUCCUCGAUCAAGUGAAGAAGAUACUAUUAUGACAAUGGAAAACAGAACACCAUCUCUGACUGCACCUGAGGAAAAAGAUGAAAGUGAAGGACGGAAAAUUAAUAUAGAAUGUUAUGAUGAGCAUGCUCCCAGAUUUUUUGUAAUAAAUCCCGAUGGCAGAUCUGGUAUGGAACUUCUUCGAUAUCAGGAAGUUGCAGAGUGGAUAACAAAUGCGGAGGCUGAUCCAUUUACCGCUAUUAUUGUUGAUCAAGUUGCUGAUCGUCCUAAAAUUUCUUCAAUAUCAACUUUAAUCCCAUUCACAAAGAGUGUCUCGCAAAGAUGGAUAAAAUCCUAUGAUGACAAUUCAAUUGUACCCCCUGGUCUUACUUUGAGAGAUUUAACAACUUUUCCGCCUCAGGAAGAGAAAACGAUGGGGCCAGGUUUUGGAACAAAUGCAGGUCGAGGUCUUGAGAUCGGUAGCAGAGAGGCUCCAUGCUUAUCUCCAUUACCUAAAUGCCCUGAUACUUUACAAAUUCGACAAGUCUUGCAAUACACAGCUCUGACUCCUGAAAUUCGAGAAGAGUUUUCAAAUGGUAUAAAGUCGUAUGCAGAUUUUGUAGUCUCAAGAUUUAAGGAUACACAGACCGUAGGAAUUGAAGAAUAUCGCAGCGAAAGUGAACAACUUAUGGCCGACACUUUAUUAGAAGAUAGUGGUACAGUUCAUUUGAUUGAGGACCGUCAAAGCGUCACAUCACUAAUCGAGGAGAGAGAAGAUCAACAAAAUACAUUCAGAAUAGAAUCUUCUAACGUCCGCAGUGUCUAUGAAAGAUCAACUGCUCCCAAAGUACCAUCCCCUAUACCUCCUCCUUUACCAAAAAGGACAGCAGAGGACUGGGAGCAAGAUAAAAAGGAACUUGAAAAAGAAAUGGAGCAUCGUAAAGUACUUAGAAAUAAAUAUGUUCCUCCCUACUUUCAAAGCCAAUUUGGAAAAUCGUACUUGGAUUCACUAGAGUCAAAAAACAACAAAGAUGAAGAAGAGUCGGAGAGCGUUGAGCCAAAAAAAGUUGCAGCUCCUCCGGAGGAAGAAAAAUCUGCUCCUGCUGGAUACGAAGAAGAAACGCCCUCGCCAAAUCAAGGUUUGAUAGAAUAAUAAAACGCUUUAAAGAAAUUCCGCUUAAUUAUUUUGACGCACACAUUUUUGCUUUUAUGAGCACUUGUUUAGAACUAAAAUCCUUUACAGAAUUGCUGUUUGCCUGUGAUAGUGCCGAAAAUGGCAAGCUCAGUAAGUUUUCAGAUUGUUGUCUUCAAUUACAUACAACUUUUCUGAUAUCUUUUUUUUAACUAUCUGCUGUUUACAAUACCGAUUCACUCUUAAAAUUACCUGUUUCCGUUGUUUUUAUGACUUUCAGUUAUGAUCUAUAUCUAGAUAUAAUUUUUAAUCUAGGUGUAACAGGAAAUACUCCAUCAUCUAUUAGGCCUACCAAUCCAACUCCUGGAGUCGCAGGAGGUAGAACAUCUCCAACAGCUGUACGGCCUACGGCUCCUACCCCUGUUCACGCCGUUACGCAAAUGCAGCCAGCAAGACCGGAAGCUCCGACUCCAAAUCAAGAACGAGAAGAAACGAAAGCUACCAUGAUGACAACUAGUUCAUCUCAGUCGUAUCAUGCCGUUGCCAAUGAUCGCUUCAACACAAUUGAAGAUCCGGUUAGACGAAAAGUUCUAACCGCUCCUAUUGCUGGAGCUACACCAUCUGGCGUAGAGAAUUUACUGCAACUUAGAGGUUUUAUCCUACAACCCGAUACUGCUGACUUUGGUUGUUUGAAAGAAGGGAACACUUAUAAUUUACGAAUCACUCUCCGCAAUACAGGACAUGACACUUGUAGAUUUAAAGUAAAACAACCUCCUGUAACUACAGGUAUUCGUAUUCUCUAUAAACCUGGUCCUGUGGCGGCUGGAAUGAAAGCGGAAAUGACUAUACAAAUCUUUGGGCUUUUAUCAAAUGCUGUCGAAGGUGUAGCAGCCGUAAAGCAUGAGUUAGAAAUAAUAACCGAAACACACGUUCUUUACCUACCGAUAACAGCUACGGUCUUAUCACAAGAGGCUUACUUGGAACAAGCACCGAGAUCAGUAAAGAAAAACCCAAAUGUCAGGCUUAUUUCGACAGCAGCUCCAGUAUUAACAAAACCUCGAAGAAUUUACGAACAAUCGAAACCUAACAUACCAGCCUCGUUACCUAUUAAGGCUCCUACGCCCCCUCCCAAAGCAAAAAACAAAGAGGCAGUAGUGGCCAAUUAAAAGCCGUUAAGAGUUUUAUUGCACGCUAUAUAAUUUUUGAUGGAACGCGUUACUAAUAACUGAACACGGAAGUCUACGAGUAACAGAACAUUUCUAAUUCAUCUUCUCCUCCUGGACAUUGGCUUACACCAUCACACAAUUCUUUUUCCUUUAUACAGCGACCUGUUAGAUCAUAUCCAUUGCCUGUUUUCUUCCUUAACGGACAUGCGAACAUUUUGCCUGACGGCUGCGAAGAUUCGUAUCCUCUCUCAUAACAAUCUAUAAGUUUAAUUAAGUAUUGAAUAUAAAUUUUAUAAUUAUAAAAUUUCAUGAUGAUAUAAUACAUAUAUUUAUAUAUUCAAUUAUAAAAUACAAACAAACUAACUUAAUGAAGAAAUGA
rnacentral:misc_RNA from 1 species